UACGUAGGGUGCAAGCGUUAUCCGGAAUUAUUGGGCGUAAAGAGCUCGUAGGCGGUUUGUCACGUCUGCUGUGAAAACUGGAGGCUCAACCUCCAGCCUGCAGUGGGUACGGGCAGACUAGAGUGCGGUAGGGGAGAUUGGAAUUCCUGGUGCAGCGGUGGAAUGCGCAGAUAUCAGGAGGAACACCGAUGGCGAAGGCAGAUCUCUGGGCCGUAAAUGACGCUGAGGAGCGAAAGCAUGGGGAGCGAACAGG
rnacentral:rRNA from 1 species